UACGUAGGUGGCGAGCGUUGUCCGGAUUUACUGGGCGUAAAGAGCGCGCAGGCGGUCGUACAAGUCGCGUGUGAAAGCCCCCGGCCCAACUGGGGAGGGUCACGCGAUACUGUUCGACUCGAAGGCGGGAGAGGGUAGUGGAAUUCCCGGUGUAGUGGUGAAAUGCGUAGAUAUCGGGAGGAACACCAGUGGCGAAGGCGACUACCUGGCCUGUUCUUGACGCUGAGGCGCGAAAGCUAGGGUAGCAAACGGG
rnacentral:rRNA from 1 species